AUUGAACGCUGGCGGCAGGCCUAACACAUGCAAGUCGAACGAGUGGCGGACGGGUGAGUAAUGCUUGGGAAACUGGCUUAUGGAGGGGGAUAACUACUGGAAACUGUAGCUAAUACCGCAUACCAUCGGAUGAGCCCAGGUGGGAUUAGGUAGUUGGUGGGGUAACGGCUCACCAAGCCGACGAUCCCUAGCUGGUCUGAGAGGCGGACCAGCAAAACUGGGACUGAGACACGGUCCAGACUCCUACGGGAGGCAGCAGUGGGGAAUAUUGCGCAAUGGGCGCAAGCCUGACGCAGCCAUGCCGCGUGAAUGAAGAAGGCCUUCGGGUUGUAAAGUACUUUCGGCGGGGAGGCGUUACCUGCAGAAGAAGCACCGGCUAACUCCGUGCCAGCAGCCGCGGUAAUUC
rnacentral:rRNA from 1 species